UGGGGAAUAUUGGGCAAUGGACGCAAGUCUGACCCAGCAACGCCGCGUGAAGGAAGAAGGCUUUCGGGUUGUAAACUUCUUUUAAGAGGGAACAGAAGAAGAGGGUACCUCUUGAAUAAGCCACGGCUAACUACGUGCCAGCAGCCGCGGUAAUACGUAGGUGGCAAGCGUUGUCCGGAUUUACUGGGUGUAAAGGGCGUGUAGCCGGGGAGACAAGUCAGAUGUGAAAUCUGGAGGCUCAACCUCCAAACUGCAUUUGAAACUGUUUCUCUUGAGUAUCGGAGAGGUAAUCGGAAUUCCUAGUGUAGCGGUGAAAUGCGUAGAUAUUAGGAAGAACACCAGUGGCGAAGGCGGAUUACUGGACGACAACUGACGGUGAGGCGCGAAAGCGUGGGGAGCAAACAGGAUUAGAUACCC
rnacentral:rRNA from 1 species